rnacentral:lncRNA from 1 species
GGGAAAGCAUGGCUGCUUUGCAGCUCUAGGAGCAGAGCGUGGCUGGAUUUUCAGUGUCCAUACUUGGUCAGUGCAUGACCUCCAUCCAGGCGCACAGUGGCCCUGACACUGCCCUCUGUCCCCUCCCUCCCCAUCACUCAAGGCUUUCUGCAGCCGGGGCUGCUCUCCUUGGUGGUGUCCUCCCCAGCCCGCGCUCAGAUUGUAAGGCUGGCCUUGGCCUCCGCCCCUGACAGUGUUGGAGGACAGACAAGGACAGACAACUUCAGAUCCUAAUCCCAAGGCUUUGCGUUUCCCCCCUGAAGGGUCAAGGGAGCAUAGGACUGGAGGCCAGGUGGUCAGAUGCCUCCCAGCACCCAGCCUGGGCCCCUCCUUCUCCCCUCACCCCCUCUGGGGCCUAAGACCUGCUCUUUGGCCCUUGUGCAGAAGCCUGGUGUCUUCCUCUUGGUGCCCCAAACAGAGGCGGC